CCUACGGGAGGCAGCAGUCGGGAAUAUUGCGCAAUGGAGGAAACUCUGACGCAGUGACGCCGCGUGCAGGAAGAAGGUUUUCGGAUUGUAAACUGCUUUUGAAAGGGAAGAAAAAAGACAGUACCUGUUGAGUAAGCUCCGGCUAAAUACGUGCCAGCAGCCGCGGUAAUACGUAGGGGGCAAGCGUUAUACGGAUUUAUUGGGUGUAAAGGGUGCGUAGACGGGGAAGCAAGUGAGGUGUGAAAUCCCUGGGCUUAAACGAGGAACUGCAAUUAAGACUACUUCCCUUGAGUACUGGAGAGGAAAGUGGAAUUCCUAGUGUAGCGGUGAAAUGCGUAGAUAUUAGGAGGAACACCAGUGGCGAAGGCGACUGUCUGGACAGUAACUGACGUUGAGGCACGAAAGUGUGGGGAGCAAACAGGAUUAGAUACCCUAGUAGUC
rnacentral:rRNA from 1 species